GAUUAUGGCUCAAUUGAACGCUGGCGGCAUGCUUUACACAUGCAAGUCGAACGGCAGCACGGGUGCUUGCACCUGGUGGCGAGUGGCGAACGGGUGAGUAAUGCAUCGGAACGUACCUAUCAGUGGGGGAUAACACAUCGAAAGAUGUGCUAAUACCGCAUAUUAUCCGAGGAUGAAAGCGGGGGACCUUAGGGCCUCGCGCUGAUAGAGCGGCCGAUGUCGGAUUAGCUAGUUGGUGAGGUAAAGGCUCACCAAGGCGACGAUCCGUAGCGGGUCUGAGAGGAUGAUCCGCCACACUGGGACUGAGACACGGCCCAGACUCCUACGGGAGGCAGCAGUGGGGAAUUUUGGACAAUGGGCGAAAGCCUGAUCCAGCCAUGCCGCGUGAGUGAAGAAGGCCUUCGGGUUGUAAAGCUCUUUUGUCCGGGAGGAAAUCCUGACCCCUAAUACGGGUCGGGGAUGACAGUACUGGAAGAAUAAGCACCGGCUAACUACGUGCCAGCAGCCGCGGUAAUACGUAGGGUGCAAGCGUUAAUCGGAAUUACUGGGCGUAAAGCGUGCGCAGGCGGUUUUGUAAGCCAGAUGUGAAAUCCCCGAGCUUAACUUGGGAACUGCGUUUGGAACUGCAAGACUAGAGUGUGUCAGAGGGGGGUAGAAUUCCACGUGUAGCAGUGAAAUGCGUAGAGAUGUGGAGGAAUACCGAUGGCGAAAGCAGCCCCCUGGG
rnacentral:rRNA from 1 species